AUCUAAUUGGUUGUGGCGCUGGCUGCCUGUAUAUAAAGGGCCCYCCCUCUACCUGUGUGACAUGGUUGCCUCCCGGUUCAGACUACUAUGGUUGCGGGUGCUGCACGCUAGCCCCAGGCUAGUGGGUGCAUGAAGGGUGCGGUUAACGACCCUUGAUCCUUUUUAUGGCUACCAGAAUGAGUCUACCUGAUUCCUCCUCCUUUAGAGGAGCUACACUUUAGGCUCAGUGACGCUGCUGUUUGUCCUUUGCUGGUGUUCUGCUGGAGGCCCAAUGUGUUCACUUCCGGUUUCCUAUCUAGGCCGUGUGGUUCUUUGGCCGGCUAAAUAACUGUUGCUGUGUUAGACCUUCAUCGGCUCCUGCUGGUCGUCAUUCUGCCCUGAUUGGCUUAGCGACGCUCAGCUCAA